GACGAACGCUGGCGGCGUGCUUAACACAUGCAAGUCGAACGGAAAGGCCCUGCUCUUGUGGCGUGCUCGAGUGGCGAACGGGUGAGUAACACGUGUGUAACCUCCCCUUUACUUUGGGAUACCUUCUGGAAACUGGGGCUAAUACCCGGUAUGAACUCCUUCUACACGGUGGGGGUUGGUAAGUUUCGGCGGUUCGGCAUGGACGCGCGGUUUAUCAUCUUGUUGGUGGGUUGGUGGAGUACCAAGGCUUUGACGGGUUGCCGGCCUGCGAGGGUGACCGGCCACAUUGGGACUGAGAUGGGGCCCAGACUCCUACGGGAGGCAGCAGUGGGGAAUAGUGCGCGAUGGGCGGAGGGCGGGUGGAGCAACGCCGCGUGCGGGAUGACGGCCGUCGGGGUGUAAACCGCUUGCGCCUGUGACGAAGAGUGAGUGACGGUAAUGGGUAAAGAAGCAACGGCUAACUACGUG
rnacentral:rRNA from 1 species